ACCACUCUGUGCAUCCUUCCUCCUCCUUCACUUCUGUCAACCCCUCCCCCGCAGGGCCAGGUUUGGUGAAUAUGCUGAAACCUGCACCUGUCAAUCAAGAAGGAGAAAGAGGAGCUGUAAAAGGAAGGCAGAAGAGCAAAUGUGUACAGAAUGUCUUGGUGCUCUUAACUGUUUAUCUGCAUAUAGACUAAAAGUACUUUUUCUCCAGAAUGAAGCAAUGGGUCACUAAGUGAAAGGUAUCAUUACUUUCAUCUAAGCUUGUCCUAUAAGGCAUUGUGCCUGGAAUGAUGGUAAGCCAGGCUGUGGCUGGGGUUGCCUCCCAGGGACCCACAUCACCACCACAAGAGCAGGAGAAAGCUGACAUUUGGUGCAACCCUACUAUGGUGGAUUAGUUGGAGUUCCUCAUGGUCUCUUGCCCCAGUGAUGGACUGCUCAAAAUGUUCUUUACUGUGCCACCAAAUGUGGUCCUGUAACCAUCAAGAAUAUUGUGUCACGUGUUCUAAAACCAUCAAGCAUAUCAUACCACUGUUAUGAAGGAAAUAAAGUUAUUUCUUUCAGCCUCAAAA